AUGACUGGCCAACAAACAGUUCAAAAUUAUCUUUUGAGAAGUUUUGUGUUCACUAAGACUGUUAAGACAAAUGCGCGGACUGAAGCUGAGAUAACACUGCUUGAGAACAAUAUCAUUGUUUACAAAUUUGUGCAAGAACUGCAUUUCUUUGUCACUGGCGGUGAUAAUGAAAAUGAGCUUUGGCAUCAGUUCUUCAGGUUUUCUUCGAUGCAGUCACCCUUUUGCUGA